GAAAAUUUUUUCUAUUUCCCAAUAGGGAGGAAAAGAAACCAACAGGGAUUGCCUUAGUAGCGGCGAGUGAAGCGGCAAAAGCUCAAAUUUGAAAUCUGGCACCUUCGGUGUCCGAGUUGUAAUUUGAAGAUUGUAACCUUGGGGUUGGCUCUUGUCUAUGUUUCUUGGAACAGGACGUCACAGAGGGUGAGAAUCCCGUGCGAUGAGAUGCCCAAUCCUAUGUAAGGUGCUUUCGAAGAGUCGAGUUGUUUGGGAAUGCAGCUCUAAGUGGGUGGUAAAUUCCAUCUAAAGCUAAAUAUUGGCGAGAGACCGAUAGCGAACAAGUACAGUGAUGGAAAGAUGAAAAGAACUUUGAAAAGAGAGUGAAAAAGUACGUGAAAUUGUUGAAAGGGAAGGGUUUGAGAUCAGACUCGAUAUUUUGUGAGCCUUGCCUUCGUGGCGGGGUGACCCGCAGCUUAUCGGGCCAGCAUCGGUUUGGGCGGUAGGAUAAUGGCGUAGGAAUGUGACUUUGCUUCGGUGAAGUGUUAUAGCCUGCGUUGAUGCUGCCUGCCUAGACCGAGGACUGCGAUUUUAUCAAGGAUGCUGGCAUAAUGAUCCCAAACCGCCCGUCUUAAACCCCGGGACCAAAAAAGAAAAAGC
rnacentral:rRNA from 1 species